GCACGCAGAGCGGAGCUCACACCUUCAAGCUUGGAGUUGUACAGCCUGCUGUGAGGGCUAAAAAUAUUGGUUGCUCUGUAAGAAAGCUUGCCUAGUUUGUGUUCCUGUAUUUACAAUUUGGGUGCAUACAAGAGUGGGCCAUAUGCCAUCAGAAGUCCAGGGCAGUGGAUGAUGAAGCACUUUUUCAGCAUAUGCUUCCCUGGGAAUACCUGCAACAGAGCAAGAAAGACAACAAUGUUCUCCAGAAUCAAUGUCACACGGCACAUGGACACAUGGAGCCAACGGUGCGGCGCACUGGGCGGGGCUACUGAAUGUUGG